AUACGUAGGGGGCGAGCGUUGUCCGGAAUUACUGGGCGUAAAGGGUGCGUAGGUGGCACUUUAAGUUGGAUGUGAAAUCCCCGUGCUUAACAUGGGAGCUGCAUCCAAUACUGGAGAGCUAGAGUGCAGGAGAGGUAAGCGGAAUUCCUAGUGUAGCGGUGAAAUGCGUAGAUAUUAGGAGGAACACCAGUGGCGAAGGCGGCUUACUGGACUGUAACUGACACUGAGGCACGAAAGCGUGGGGAGCAAACAGGAUUAGAUACCCUGGUAGUCCACGCUGUAAACGAUGAAUACUAGGUGUAGGGGGUAUCAACUCCCUCUGUGCCGCAGCAAACGCAAUAAGUAUUCCGCCUGGGGAGUACGGCCGCAAGGUUGAAACUUAAAGGAAUUGACGGGG
rnacentral:rRNA from 1 species